rfam:Candidatus Zambryskibacteria bacterium RIFCSPLOWO2_12_FTLL_39_16 rifcsplowo2_12_scaffold_37581, whole genome shotgun sequence.
UAAUUUUAGAGUUUGAUCCUAGCUCAGGAUGAACGCUGGCGGCGUGGAUAAGGCAUGCAAGUCUAAAGGAUUUUCGGCGCAAGCCGAAGGUCCUUGGCAAACGAGGUAGUAACACGUAGGUACGUACCCUUUAGUUGAGUAUAACUAGCCGAAAGGUUAGAUAAUUCUCAAUGGUCUCUGAGGCGCAAGCCAAGGAGUAAAGAUUUAUCGCUAAAGGAACGGCCUGCGGCCUAUCAGCUAGUUGGUGAGGUAAUGGCUCACCAAGGCUAUGACGGGUAGGGGAGCUGAGAGGCUGACCCCCACCGAUGGAACUGAGAAACGGUCCAUACACCUACGGGUGGCCGCAGUCGAGAAUCUUCCGCAAUGGGCGAAAGCCUGACGGAGCGACGCCGCGUGGUUGAUGAAGUCCUUCGGGACGUAAAAACCUUUUAUGAUUGAGAAAUCCGUCCGUUUUAACUGACGGUUGAUCUGAUCAUGAAUAAGGGGCUCCAAACUCUGUGCCAGCAGGAGCGGUAAUACAGAGGCCCCAAGCGUUAUCCGGAAUCACUGGGCGUAAAGGGUGUGUAGGUGGUUUUGUUAGUCUCUUGUUAAAGCUCCCGACUCAAUCGGGAAAAUGCAAGGGAUACGGCAAAACUUAGAGAGUGUGAGAGGUAUAUGGAACUCAUGGAGUAGGGGUGAAAUCCGUUGAUAUCAUGGGGAACACCAAAAGCGAAGGCAAUAUACUGGCGCAUUUCUGACACUGAAACACGAAAGCGUGGGUAGCGAAUGGGAUUAGAUACCCCAGUAGUCCACGCCCUAAACGAUGAUCGCUGGGUUUUCGGAGUAUCGACCCUCUGAGAGCCGAAGCUAACGCGUUAAGCGAUCCGCCUGGGUAGUACGAGCGCAAGCUUAAAACUCAAAGGAAUAGACGGGGACUUGCACAAGCGGUGGAUUAUGCGGUUCAAUUCGUCGACAAACGAAAAACCUUACCAAGGCUAGAAAUCUAGCUGAAUGCAAGCAGAAACGUUUGCAGUCUCACAAGGACAGCUAGACAGGUGAUGCAUGGCCGUCGUCAGUUCGUGAUUUGAAUUGUUCCCUUAAGUGGGGUAACGAACGCAACCCUUGUUGGUUGUUACAAGUGUCAACCGAGACCACCCAGCACUAAGAUUGGAAAAUGAUUUCGUUUUCUUAUUUUGGUGCUGGGAGGAAGCGAGGAUGACGCCAGGUCAGCAUGUCCCUCUGAUGCCUUGGGCCACACGCAUAAUACAAUCGCCGGUACAACGCGUUGCGACGGGGUAACCCUAAGCUAAUCGUAAUAAGCCGGCGCCAGUUCGGAUUGGGGGCUGCAACUCGACCCCAUGAAGUUGGAAUCGCUAGUAAUCGCGGGUCAGCUAUACCGCGGUGAAUACGUUCUCAAGUCUUGUACUCACCGCCCGUCAAGUCAGGGAAGUUGGGAGGACCCAAAGGCUCGCGCAAGCGGGACUAAGGUAAACUCAAUGACAAAGACUAAGUCGUAACAAGGCACGGGUAGCGGAAGCUGCUCGUGGAAUAUUUCAAGG